rnacentral:lncRNA from 1 species
ACGCCAUUCCUCAGUUACAUGGCCAAAAUCCACUGUGUUCAUAGGGACUUUAAAUUCUCCAAUGAUGUCAUGCUUAGAGAAACGAUCAAAAUCAUAUACAGCCAUCACUAGGGUUUUGCCACCCAAUUCCGAGUAUGGUACCCACUUUCACGUAAGGAUCAGAUGUGCCCCCCAUGUCCAAGGCGGGCAGUUCGGCAGCCUGAAUGAUCCCUACCAGCA